UAGAAGCUAGUUUCGGGUGUAAACCACUGUUGCCCGGGACGAACAGCUUCUUUCGAGGAGCCUGACGGUACCGGGUGAGGAAGCACCGGCUAACUCCGUGC
rnacentral:rRNA from 1 species